AUGGACCCCCCGCAAAGUGAACGAGCAGGCCCUUGUGAAAAUGUGUAAGCAGGAUCCGAGCAUUCUGCACACCGAGGAAAUGUGCUUCCUGAGGGAGUGGGUGGGAGCAGGCGGUAAAGUACCACCUGCUACUCAGAAAGCUAAAUCUGAAGAAAAUACCAAGGGGAAAAAAAAAACCUGAUAGUAAGAAGGUGGAGGAAAACUUAAAGGCAGACAAACCAUCAAGUGAGGAAAGUGAUCUAGAAGUUGAUAAUGAAUGGGUGAUUGAACCAGACACUGAUGCCCUUUAAGAAAUAGGAGAUGAAAAUGCAGAACAGAGGAGAUGAGAUCAGGCAUAUGAUAAGAAAGUGGUUGCUAUUGAAGCCCUAAAUGAUGGUGAACUGCAGAAAGCCAUUGACUUAUUCACAAAUGCCAUUAAGCUGAAUUUGCGCUUGGCCGUUUUGUAUGCCAAGAGGGCCAGCGUUUUCGUCAAAUUACAGAAGCCAAAUGCUGCCAUCCAAGACUGUGACAGAGCCAUGAAAUAAAUCCUGAUUCAGCUCAGCCUUACAAAUGGCGAGGGAAAGCACACAGACGCCUAGGCCACUGGGAAGAUGUAGCCCAUGAUCUUGCCCUUGCCUGUAAAUUGGAUUACGAUGAAGAUGCUAGUACAAUGCUGAAAGAAGUUCAACCUAGGGCACAGGAAAUUGCAGAAGAAAGUAUGAGCGAAACGUGAAGAGCGAGAGAUCAAAGAAUAGAAAGAGUUAAGAAGGCUCAAGAAGAGCAUGAGAGAGCCCGGAGGGAGGAAGAAGCCAGACCACAGUCAGAAGCUCACUAUGGCUCUUUUCCAGGUGGCUUUCCUGGGGGAAAUGCCUGGUAAUUUUCCCAGAGGAAUAUCUGGAAUGGCCAGAAUGCCUGGACUCAAUGAAAUUCUUAGUGAUCUAGAGGUUCUUGCAGACAUGCAGGAUCCAGAAGUUAUGGUGGCCUUCCAGGAUGUGGCUCAGAACCCAGCAAAUUUGUCAAAAUACCACAGCAACCCAAAGGUUAUGAAUCUUAUCAGUAAAUUGUCAGCCAAUUGGGAGUCAAGCA
rnacentral:lncRNA from 1 species